CUGCUUGCUUCUUCGCAGCAAUGCGGUUUGGGGGCGUCUGCAUAACCUGCUCGCGCCCCUGUGUUUCAAAAGGCUAUGUUUUAACAUACACUAUAAAGUUACAGAAUGUCUUUUAAAGGCUGCUUGCAGUCAUUAAACCUAUACAACUUUCAGCAACGGAUCUCUUGGCUCUCCCAUCGAUGAAGAACGCAGCGAAAUGCGAUAAGUAAUGUGAAUUGCAGAAUUCAGUGAAUCAUCGAAUCUUUGAACGCACCUUGCGCCCUUUGGUAUUCCGAAGGGCAUGCCUGUUUGAGUGUCAUUAAAUUAUCAACCUUGCUUGCUUUUACUAGCUCGCUUGGCUUGGAUGUGGGGGUUUGCUGGCUUCCUUCAGUGGAUGGAUGGUCUGCUCCCCUUAAAUGCAUUAGUGGGAUCUCUUGUGGACCGUCACUUGGUGUGAUAAUUAUCUAUGCCAUAUGACUUUGAAGCAAAUUUUAUGAGAACCUGCUUAUAACCGUCUCUCGCAGCAAUGCGGAUUGGGGGUCUGAGUCCUUUAUUUGGGCACUUCCCUUGUCGGACAACUUUUUUAACAUUUUGACCUCAAAUCAGGUAGGACUACCCGCUGAACUUAA
rnacentral:rRNA from 1 species